rnacentral:tRNA from 1 species
UCCCUGGUGGCUCAGAUGGUAAAGAAUCUGCCUGCAAUGCAGAAGACCUGGGUUCAGUUCCUGGGUUGGGAA